rnacentral:rRNA from 1 species
AUUGAACGCUGGCGGCAGGCCUAACACAUGCAAGUCGAGCGGAUGAAGGGAGCUUGCUCCUGGAUUCAGCGGCGGACGGGUGAGUAAUGCCCAGGAAUCUGCCUGGUAGUGGGGGAUAACGUCCGGAAACGGGCGCUAAUACCGCAUACGUCCUGAGGGAGAAAGUGGGGGAUCUUCGGACCUCACGCUAUCAGAUGAGCCUAGGUCGGAUUAGCUAGUUGGUGGGGUAAAGGCCUACCAGGGCGACGAUCCGUAACUGGUCUGAGAGGAUGAUCAGUCACACUGGAACUGAGACACGGUCCAGACUCCUACGGGAGGCAGCAGUGGGGAAUAUUGGACAAUGGGCGAAAGCCUGAUCCAGCCAUGCCGCGUGUGUGAAGAAGGUCUUCGGAUUGUAAAGCACUUUAAGUUGGGAGGAAGGGCAGUAAGUUAAUACCUUGCUGUUUUGACGUUACCAACAGAAUAAGCACCGGCUAACUUCGUG